UGGGGGAUAUUGCACAAUGGGCGAAAGCCUGAUGCAGCGACGCCGCGUGGGGGAUGAAGGCCUUCGGGUUGUAAACUUCUUUUGCUCUGAACAAGGCAUGCUAAUGGGUGUGUUGAGUGUAGGGGUUGAUUAGCGCCGGCUAACUACGUGCCAGCAGCCGCGGUAAUACGUAGGGCGCGAGCGUUGUCCGGAAUUAUUGGGCGUAGAGGGCUUGUAGGUGGCUGGUUGCGUCUGUCGUGAAAGCUCAUGGCUUAACUGUGGGUUUGCGGUGGGUACGAGCUGGCUUGAGUGCAGUAGGGGAGGCUGGAAUUCCUGGUGUAGCGGUGGAAUACGCAGAUAUCAGGAGGAAUACCGGUGGCGAAGGCGGGUCUCUGGGCUGUUACUGACACUGAGGAGCGAAAGCAUGGGGAGCGAACAGG
rnacentral:rRNA from 1 species